AUGAGGAACCCUGGACCCUGUAAACUCCUUCUCCUCUUGUUGGUUGCUUUGGCCAUGAACCCAGCAUAAUGCAGGCUCACACUAGUUGCAGACUUUAAACAUUGUGAUUUUGGGCCUGGCAUGUUGGAGGUCAUCCAGGUCAGCUAUGUAGACUCCAUACAGUUUCAGGGAGUCAACAGCAAAGAACCAACUGCAAGGAUACAACUUUGGGCUGCUUAGAUGGAGCAGGAGCCACCUGAAUAUUGGGAAAAGAGAAAACACAAGUCCUGUACUUGUCACAGACCAAUGAGUUCUUCAGUUCAUGGUGGAUUACUAUGAACAUAGAUUGGAUGAAUAUCACACCCUGCAGGGAAUGUAUGGCUGCAGUGUGGCCAAUGAUGGGAGCUUCCUUCUUGGUCACUAUUGAUUCACUUACUGUGGUUAUGAUUACAUCAUCCUGAAUGAGACCCUGAGCUCUUGGAAUGCACAGGACAAGGUAGCUCAAAUGCUGAAGAGUUCCUGGGAGACUGAAGACAUGACAGAAAGUUGGAAGACUUACCUGCAAGGGGAGUGUGUGGAAAGACUUCUUAGAUGCCUGGACAUUGGAAAGGAGACCUUGCUGCACUCUGAUGCCCCCCCCAACACAUGUGACCCACCAUGUAAGACCUGAAGGGAAUGUCACCCUGAGGUGCUGGGCCCUGGGCUUCUACCUAGCUGAUAUCACCAUGACUUGGAAGAGGGAUGGGAACAACCACACCCAAGACAUGGAGCUGCCAGACCCCAGGCCUGCAGGGGAUGGAACCUUCCAGAAGGGGGCAGCUGUGGUGGUUCCUUCUGGAGAAGAGCUGAGAUACACAUGUCAUGUGCACCAUGAAGCCUUUCACUCUGAAAUGGGCCUCCGCAAACCAUCCCCAUCAUAACAAUUCUCAUCGGCCUGGUUCUUGGAACUUGGGUGGUGGGAACUGUGGUCAUUUUGCUGGUGCGGAAGAAAUAA
rnacentral:lncRNA from 1 species